GGUUUUUAAGAGCUGGUCAUGCCCUUUGUGGGGCUAGUGUGGUCACAGUCACAUGCCCUUCGGGCCUGUUCUUAUUCACUUAGUAUGAACUAUACUCUCAGGCCGUAUUGUUCCAGGACUGCCGGAAGCACCCGACGGGUUAGGCAGUCUCUGUGGUACCCUGGGGCCUUGGCCUCCAUGUGGCCUCUCCAGCACAUUUCCGUGGCUUCUGUGUCAGUGGUUUCUUUCCUCUGCUUGGCUCCCCAUGGUUUCAAGUCUACCAGGGCAGGUGUGAAAACUGCCCAUUUGGCCCUGAUCCUGAGUGACUGAUGGUGCUGGCCAGUAUCCAGGACCGCCCCAGGACAAUUCAGGGGAAGCUUUAAAGGAACCAGAAAGGGUCCAGGAGCACUCUUUGCCCAACUUUGCUGGGGGACAGCACUUCUUUGAAUACCUUCUUGUGGUUUCUCUCAAAAAGAAGCGUUCAGAGGAUGAUUACGAGCCUAUAAUCACCUACCAAUUUCCCAAGCGGGAGAACCUGCUUCGGGGUCAGCAGGAGGAGGAGGAGCGGCUGCUCAAAGCUAUCCCCUUGUUCUGCUUCCCAGAUGGGAAUGAGUGGGCAUCACUCACUGAGUAUCCCAGGGAGACCUUCUCCUUCGUUCUGACCAAUGUGGAUGGGAGCAGAAAGAUUGGAUACUGCAGGCGCCUCUUG
rnacentral:sRNA from 1 species